rnacentral:rRNA from 1 species
GAUGAACGCUGGCGGCGUGCUUAACACAUGCAAGUCGAACGGAAAGGCCCAAGCUUGCUUGGGUACUCGAGUGGCGAACGGGUGAGUAACACGUGGGUGAUCUGCCCUGCACUUCGGGAUAAGCCUGGGAAACUGGGUCUAAUACCGGAUAGGACCACAUUUUGGAUGGUGUGGUGGAAAGUUUUUCGGUGUGGGAUGAGCUCGCGGCCUAUCAGCUUGUUGGUGGGGUAAUGGCCUACCAAGGCGUCGACGGGUAGCCGGCCUGAGAGGGUGUACGGCCACAUUGGGACUGAGAGACGGCCCAGACUCCGACGGGAGGCAGAAGUGGGGAAGAUUGCACAAGGGGAGCAAGCCUGAUGCAGCGACGCCGCGGGGGGGAUGACGGCCUUCGGGUUGGAAACUCAUUUCGCUAGGGACGAAGCGUUAUGUGACGGUACCUGGAGAAGAAGCACCGGCUAACUACGUG